rnacentral:lncRNA from 7 species
AUGUGAAACUACCAAAUCUGACGACGGUGCAAUAUGUCAACUGGAGUACUACAUAAUCAGCGCAUAUUUUUUCUUCCUUCUGAUGCGUUACUGUGUCGGUGGAAUGUACGCGAAGGACAGCCGGUGGUGGAAGGAGAAAACACGAAAAUUGGUUUUGGAAACGUCCAGAUUAGCUGUAGAUUUUUGACACCUUCACUUAUCCACUUGCUCUUGUCCGUACCACACAGGAACUUUUAUUGAAGUACUCACUCCGUCCAAAAUUAAAUUUCGUUUUAGUUAAUUAUUGCGUACAAUGUAUAUGUUUUAUAUGAGUAUGGGUUCAUCGUUAUCCAUUUAAACGUAGACAUAAAAACGCAGAGCUAAAACGGCUAAUAACCGAGGGAGUAUUAGGUACUGCUAGUGUAAGAAGCACAGAACAAACUGGUCAUUUAGCUACCCUCUGUUACCAGGUCAAUUGCAGCCCAGCUUAUAAUUCCUCAAACGUGCAGUGCAGUGCAGCGAGUAUGAAGGAGCCUGGAAAAGCGCUGUAUAUUGAUGCGAAGUUUUGCGCACAGUGGUACGGAGGCGGACUGCUCCAAUAGAUUUGAUCCUAAGCAAAGUGUCCAACUUGCUCUCUGUCCCCCGCCAUUUAUGCUGAUUUUGACGAAUCGGGGUGGGGUGAAAAAAAAACCCCGAUAUUUAUCCAUCAUCGUCGUGCUUAUUCUUCGUUUUCGCAAACAAACAUGCUUUAGCCCAUAAACCCACGGCCUGAUGCAACCAAUGUCGCGCGCUUGUCCAAGUGACGGCACACCAAGCAAUCACACAUGUCCAGUCGCGAUGCCAGUCGGCGCCCGCGCGGCCACCUCGGACACCCAGCUGGGCAAGCAAGGGCCACGGGGCCCCACUGAGAUCGCGCGAUGGCCCCCCUCCGGCCUCCGCAUUUGUUGGGAAUUCGACCCGGGGAACGAACGAACGAACGCAGGCAGAGGCUCUGAGAUCUGACAGUCUGACAGGGGGGG